UUCACAUUAAUGAGUUGAUGAGUGUGUAAAACAGUACAUACCUGGUGCUACAGCCGCGCUGCCGCUGAUGACAGACAGUGACACACCUCCCCUUUAAGAGACUUUCCCUUUAACUUCACCUGAACACACCUGAACUUCCCCUACGGAAGUUUCACUACAGUUGAGGAAAGGAAAAACAAUCCAGAAAGAAAAAGACAUCCUGUGCUGAAAUAUGGGGACAAAGGGCCCUCCUGGACCAGAAAAGGUGCUCAAAAUUCCCGAAUGGGUAGCAGAUGUGGACAAGAUAACAAAGAUUGUGAACAGCACUGAGGAGGAGAACAAAGAAGAAAUGAUCAAAUCUGCAAGUAUGGAACCCAGUACCCUACAGUGGCCUGAGAAUAAAGCUGAACCACAGAUUCAGAUGCCAGUCAAGGUUGGGGAGAGCAACAAGUGUGAAAUCAGAUUGCAUCUCACUCCACGGUGGAGUGAGCCGGACCGGAGUGAGAGGGAGGAGUUUUUGCUUAAGGAGAUGGAUACAGGGAAAGAGAGUUUUUCUGACUCUGAGCUGAAAAAACGGAGUGAAAAGCACCGGCUCGGAGAUAGAGGUGGAGGAGGUGAACAUUGAUGCCAGAGAAUGCAGCCCGAGUCUUCAGCCCCAGCAUCUCCAUCCUGCGCUCCACUAGCAAGCAGGAGACUGCAGACCACUUGAGAGAUGAUGAAGAAGAGAAAAGUCCCUUCAUGGGGACACAUGGGACACAUGGAACACCACUAGAAGACUAUUACCAAGGACUGGUCCGUCACAUCAAAAUCACGCUGCUGUAAGUUCAGAUUAAAAUAGUUGCAUCAUUAUCAACUGAUAAUAUAGAAUUUAUUGGUAUAGGCUGAUAUACAUUCAUGUAGCUCAAACAGCAGAGUAUGGCUCUACCAACACCAAGAUCAUGGGCUCAAUUACCAGGGAAUGCAUAAACUGAUAAAUGUAUACCUUGAAUGGAACGUAAGCAGCUUUCGUUAAAAGCGUCUGUGAAAGUAAAAAUGAUGUUGGUUAUUUAACUGCGCAUACUCAUUUCCCCUGUUUUUGCAUGUAGAUUACCUUUGUCGUUAUCUUCUGCUCACUUAAUGUUCAAUGUUCAAUUUAUGUUUAAAGCACAUUUAAAACCACUUUAUUUGUCCAAAGUGCUGUACAUAAAGCAUAAAUCUAAUUACAGCAUUUAAAAAAUACACAGACCUAAUCUCUACAUUAGCACUGCAUAUGGUGGCUUCAACAUAACAGUAAAGUCCAUAUAAGCUUAAAAUGACUGAAUCACCUAUCAUUAAAAGCACUGGAGAAAAUAUGUGUUUUUAACAGAAAUUAAAAUUCAGACACUGUAGAAGCAGUUCUGAUAGAUAGAGGCAGAUUGUUUCAUAAUUUGGGAGCAGCAACAGAGAAAGCUCCAUCUCCCCUACAUUUUAGUCUAGUUCUGGGAGCCCACGACAUAUUUGUAGUCUGAGAUCUGAGUGAUCUGACAGGAUUGUGAACAGUAAGCAACUCUUAAAAGAUAUUGAGGAUUUACAGCUUUGAACACAAAGCUAAAUUUUAAACUCAAUAAGGUACUGGAAUGGUAACCAGUGCAGCGGGUGUAAGAUAAGUGUAAUAUGAAUCCGUUUGCGCCUGUCCGUGUUCAAACAGGCAGCCACAUUUUGAACCAACUGAAGUCGAUGUAUAGAUGAGAACGGCAAGCCAUAGUAAAGCUAGUUACAAUAAUCGAGUCGUGAAGAGAUGAAAGUAUGUAUUACAGUCUCAGAACUCUUCCUGCUCCGGUAGUGUUUAACCUUGGCGAAUCUACGAAGAUGGUAAAGUCUGGAGCUCACAGUGGCAUUCAUUUGUUUAUCUAACUUUAGUUCGCAGUCAGGUAUAAAACCUGGAAUUUUUAGCAUUGUGGACUUGAUAUGGGGUGAGAGCCCAAAUCAGUUGUGCUCAAGUCAGUUUUGCCAUUUGAUCUGAAACAAAACAUCUUCUGUUUUGUCAUUAUUUAGAUAUAGAAAGUUAUUUGUAAGCCACAUUUUCAGUUCAAGGAGACGGGCAAUUCAUUGAUUUGUAGCAGAAAUAUCAUCACGUUUAAGUGGUAUGUAGAGCUGAGUACUGUCAGCAUAGCAGUGAUAUUAUACACCAAAUCUCCUAUAUAUUGAUCGCAUGGGUAACAGUGAAAACAUAUCGGUGCCGAGAUUGAUCCCUGGAGAACACCACUUGUAGAAUGCACUACAGAAGAGGAGUAGCUACUUGCCUUUACUCACUAAAAGUACAGUGCCCCUAAUACCAAUGCAAUGCUCCAACCUCAAGAGACCGUGGUCAACAAAAUCAAAUGCUGAACUAAGGUCUAAAAGCACUAAAGCCAUAAUAUUGCCCACAUCAGUUGUAAUUAAAAUAUAAUUAAAAACCUCCAAGAGGGCAGACUUUUUUCUGUGCAAACCUUUAAAACCAGACUGAAAAACUUUAGAAAUACCACUAAUAAUCAAGUGGUUUUGAAAUAGAAAAAUUAAAAAUUCUUACAUUUUUGAUAGAAACGGGAGAUAGGAAAUUGGUCUAAAAUCAAGUGAAGGCUUCUUACAUAUAGGGUAUACAAACGCUUAUUUAAAACAAUCUAGUACUACCCCUGUUAAAAGACAACUGUUUAUAAUAGUCACUAUGUCUGCAGAGAAACUAAAUCAACUUCACUCAACUGAGCAUUGGAUAAAAACAUUUACCAUAAUAGCUAAUUGAGCCUUAAAUACUUGAGGAAAAUUUCACACAUUAAAGAAAAAAAGCACUGGGGGCGAUUUAACUCAGAAUCGAUGCCUGAGAAUCAUGUUCUGGAUAAAUAAAAAAUUUUGCCAAUGAUUUCUGACAAAUGUUCGCCUUAAAAGCUGCCUUAGCCACCUUUUGAAAUGUGCACAAUGAGUCCCUCAGCAUUUCAUAGGACACUUGAUUCCCAUAUUUCUACCACCCGUGGUCACAUUGCCGACAUUGCUGUCUAAGCACUCGGACAUCACUAUUGAUCCAUGGCUGUGAUUUGUGCUUCAAACGAAUAAGCUUGAGCGGUGCAAUAAGGUUUAAAAUAUUAUAACACUUGUUAUAAAAAAUUUAAAAAUUCACCUGAUCCUCUAAAUCAUGUUAGUGAUGACAGGAUCUGAAGCAAGAGGUUAUAUAAAACAGAGAUUUGGUCCUUCAAGUUCAGGAGAGAUUUUGUACCCGUCAAAGACAAAAACGAUAAUGAGAAAAGGAAUUAGUUUAAGCAGAUCCUGAUUUAGGUAGGCAGCCAUGAAAGCCAGUUGGAGGAAGUAAAGGAGAAAGUGUUCAUGUUUUUUUUUUUUAUCUUUAAAAAACUAAAAUUAUUCCUGUUGAAUGUAAUAUUUAGCAAAUCUUAAAUUAACAUUGAUUUUCAUACUGUACAUUAUAAUAUUGUGAUCGGUAAAUUCACUUUUAUAAUUCAGCGU
ensembl:lncRNA